rnacentral:rRNA from 1 species
CCUACGGGGGGCAGCAGUGGGGAAUAUUGGGCAAUGGAGGCAACUCUGACCCAGCAAUGCCGCGUGAGUGAUGAAGGUAAUUUUAUUGUAAAGCUCUUUUCUUUGGAACGAAUAAAUGACGGUACCAAAGGAAUAAGCACCGGCUAACUACGUGCCAGCAGCCGCGGUAAUACGUAGGGGGCAAGCGUUGUUCGGAAUGACUGGGCGUAACGGGUUGGUAGGUGGUUUGUAUAGUUAGAUGUGUAAUACCCAGGGCUUAACUUGGGUGCUGCAUCUAAAACUGUUAGACUAGAGUACUGUAGAGGUAGGUGGAAUGCCUGGUGUAGCGGUGGAAUGCGUAGAUAUUAGAAGGAACACCGGUGGCGAAGGCAGCUAUCUGGACAACUACUGACACUGAGGCACGAAAGCGUGGGGAGCAAACAGGAUUAGAUACCCCAGUAGUC